rnacentral:lncRNA from 1 species
AGAUUGAUGCUGCUCAGCCUUGAGGACAAGGCUGAUUUGAAGAGGGAGGAACUGUUAGGACCCUUUUUUUGAGCUUUUGAAUAAUGUUUAUUGAGUCUGUUUAGUCCAGUUGUUUAUUGAGUCGAUUUGGUUCAAUUAGAGUCAAGUAGAGGUUUAUUUAAUAUUUAUUUAUUAUUAGAGUUCAAGUCCCGAUGGACUCUGGGUGGAACUCUAUAAAUAGGGAUGUAACUGCUUCUUUUCAGAAAUCUAUGAAAAAUACUAUUCUGUCUUUGGACAAACCCUAGGAGGCCGAUCCCCUCGAAGCGAUCAAGGAGGGCCGAUCCCCUCGAAGCGAUCAAGGAGGCCGAUCCCCUCGAAGAGAUCAUUAUCAUCCUCAUUUCUCC